rfam:Capsicum annuum cultivar Zunla-1 chromosome 8, whole genome shotgun sequence
ACCUCAUAGUUUGGACAUUGUGUUAGUUUUCCAUUGAAUCUUUCCCACACUUCAUACAAAGUCUCUCCAUUUAGUUCCCAAAAUUUGAUGAUCUAAUCCCUCAAUU